rnacentral:rRNA from 1 species
UACAGAGGCCCCAAGCGUUGUUCGGAUUCAUUGGGCGUAAAGGGUGCGUAGGUGGCGUUGUUAGUCGAAUGUGAAAUCCCGGAGCUCAACUCCGGAACUGCAUUCGAUACUGCAGCGCUCGAGGAUUGUAGGGGAGAGUGGAAUUCACGGUGUAGCAGUGAAAUGCGUAGAUAUCGUGAGGAAGACCAGUGGCGAAGGCGACUCUCUGGGCAACUCCUGACACUGAGGCACGAAGGCUAGGGUAGCGAACGGG